GCUCGCUUGGUGAAAUUGGCAAACACGACAGACUCAAAAUCUGUGUCCUAAACAGGAUUACCGGUUCAAGUCCGGUAGCGAGUA
rnacentral:tRNA from 1 species